GCCCGGGUGGCGGAAUUGGUAUACGCGCCAGUCUUAGGAACUGGUUCCUUUGGGAUUGCGAGUUCGAGUCUCGCCUCGGGCA
rnacentral:tRNA from 1 species